UAACUAUUGUGGUUUUCUGACGCUGACUGCAACUGCAAAGAGUUUAACGAGUCCUACUGGCAGGCAAGCCUGCCGAGGAAACAGUGGUACGCAAAAAGCACGGGUUCAGACAGGGCGGAGGAGAAUUGGUCAGGCAAAAAUGUGGCUCGGUGCCAGCUUUGCCUGGCGAUCAUGGCUACGUAUCCGGCCAGAGGGUCGCAAUUGGUCUCAAUUCAGGGUCCGCCCCCGUUACUUGUUAAUGAUCCUUCCGCAGGUUCACCUACGGAAA
rnacentral:misc_RNA from 1 species